UUUAUACGUCGAAUUUUGGUCGCGUCGAACGCAAUUAAGACAAUAGAUAAUGAGAUGAUAAACCUCAUUAAGCUUCAUUAUCUAUUGUUUGAAUUGCAUUCGACGCGACCGAAAUUCGACGUAUAAA